rnacentral:rRNA from 1 species
UACAGAGGGUGCGAGCGUUAAUCGGAAUUACUGGGCGUAAAGCGUGCGUAGACGGCUAUCUAAGUCGGGUGUGAAAGCCCCGGGCUCAACCUGGGAAUUGCAUUCGAGACUGAAUAGCUAGGGUACGGUAGAGGGAAGCGGAAUUUCCGGUGUAGCGGUGAAAUGCGUAGAUAUCGGAAGGAACAUCAGCGGCGAAAGCGGCUUCCUGGACCAGUACCGACGUCAGGCACGAAAGCGUGGG